UGAUCAGCCAUGCCGCGUGAGUGAGAAGGCCUUCGGGUUGUAAAGCUCUUUCGUUGUGAUGAUAAUUUCAGAAUUAAUACCUGAUACACGGGAUAUUUCCAAGCCAACAACCGCGGCUAACUCCGGGCCAGCAGCCGCGGUAAUAAUUACUGGUGGUAGCGUUAAUCGAAAUUACUGGGCGUAAAGGGCACGCAAUCGGUCUGUUCAGCUAGAUGUGAAAGCCCCGAACUGCUAGUCUAAAGUUCAUUUAAAACUGGUGGACUUCCGUCUUGGAAAGGGAAAUGCAAUUCCAUGUGUAGGAACGAAAUGGGUAAAGAUCUGGAAGAGCAUCAAUACUGAAGGUGCUCCCUGGCCUGUGACUGACGCUCAUGUGCAAAUACCCUGGUAGUCCACACGAUUAAAUACCCUGGUAGUCCACACCGGUAUUAUAUGUCUACUAUCUGUUUGUGAAUUUAAUUCGUGAGUACCUGGCUAACGCGAUAAGUAGACCGCCUGGGGAGGAAUUGCCCGAGGUUAAAACU
rnacentral:rRNA from 1 species